rfam:Triticum aestivum genome assembly, contig: Triticum_aestivum_CS42_TGACv1_scaffold_345524_4DL
AAAGUACUCCCUCCGGCCGGAAAUACUUGUCAUCAAAAUGGAUAAAAAAGGUUGUAUUUAGACGUAUUUUAGUUCUAGACGCAUCUCUUUCUAUCCAUUUUGAUGACAAGUAUUUCCGGACGAAGGGAGUAAUAC